AUGAGUCGCGGUCUUGGGAUCUAAGGAGCCCAGAAUAAAUGGAAGAAGGAAAUUGAGUUGAAGGAGUUGCUCAAGUGCUGCCACAUGUUGCCGUUGUAAAUUGGUCGACAAUUGACGGCCUAAUAGGGUUAAGUGCCGGAAAUUACGCGAACCGAAAAAGCGGCGGAGGCUUCGAAUUCGCGCAAUCUAUUGCCACACUUAUAAGGUUUCUGCUCCCAAGUACAUACAUACCAGUUCAAGAUGAUAUCAUCAAAAAUGUUAGGUUUUCAUAGUGAUUAUAUCACUAUAUUAAUAUCGUAUUUCUGAUAUGGUGUAUAUUUUAGAUGUAUUCUUAUAAAAUAUAUCUCGCUUUAGGUUCUAAAAAUCAUAAUUUGUGGGACUAAAUAUAAAAGAUACUAUAAAGGAUUUUCAUCAUAUGCUAUAUGUACUUCGAUUGAUUAGCUACAAACUCUUUUAAUUAGGGAAAUAAUAAAUAAUCAAGGUAGUAUGUAGUAUUUUUGCUAUACCAUUAUUCAAAGUGUAAGGAUAUUCAAUACUGUAGAAGUAGUUCAAUCCGAUUGCUUUUGUGAUAUAAUUGCAUUCUUAUUGUUAAUGGAUUGAAAAUAGCGCUAAUGGAGUGAAAUUGCAGCAACUACAUCUCCGAAUAUUUUCGAGGAGUGCUACGAACUGAUAACGAUCAUUAGCGAAGCUGUGAGAUGACAGGACUCAAGAUGCCCAUGCGAACUCAAUCAGUGUCAGGGGGAAAAGGUGUGCUAGGAUGGGAUGUCCCAUAUCCAGGACAUCGGGGUGGGGGAAUCGAGCCGAAUGAAUCGCAACUGUCAAUAAAUGGAGCAGAGUGAGGGACACGGCUCUAAUCCCAGAUGACGUGAGCAAUGUGCCUCGCCUGUGGAAGUGGCCCAAGAAACCAGACCAGACCAGAUCAGACCAGAUCAGGGGAGGAUCGGCGAGGAAAUUGCCAACUAUUUGUAUUUGUCAAAGGCUCUGAUUUCACGGCAGCUAGGAAAUCCACAUUUCCAGAUUCUCGACGAUUAAUCAAUGUGACGAGGACAUCUUGAGUUGGUUUGCGCGCCAAACGAAUGUCCUGACUGUGGUUUUCGGUAAUCCCCCUGCGUUCAUCUUGGGGAUCCAAUCCGAAAUACUCACACUUUCUUCAGAGGGAUGAGGUGAGGAGAGGUCAGGAGUCGGGGCAGACCGCAGGAUCAAAGAAUCCAAUCGAUUUGCAUAGCAGACGACGGCAGGCAAAGGGUUGUAGUCCUCGAUCUGCAGAUCCUUAGAUCUUCAGAUUGCGAUACCGAUUGCCUAUGUAAAUGUUGUUUGCCCGACAAACUUUAGCUCUCGGCACAAUGCCAAAUGCAAACUAAUAGAUACAUUUUGAUCGCCGUCCAUCCGGGGGUAAUUAAGCAUAUUUACGGUCAGCCAAAAGGAUCAACGAGGUUGCGGAUGCUGUGCAAGGACGAAAAGUUAAAGGAGUGAAGGGGGCUGGACCUUCGGUAUUCACGGCUUUGUGUAAAGAUUCAGAAAUUCAUUUGGAAACAUAAAACAUAAACAUAAAAGCUUUUCAAUUAACAUGAUGAUCCUUUAAUCCUUUGGAAAACCUACAAGUUCCUCAAACGCAUCCAUUCCAUUUGGUAUAAACGCCAAACGCGCAGCUCUACUAACAAUGGAAUAUAUAAUAAUUGUUCAAAAAUCAGUUUUGUGACCACAUCGAUGGUCCACCAUCGAUCACGUCAGCAGCUUCUUCUCCGCGAUGAGCAUCUCCCUUAGCACUCGCCGUGUCCAACUGCGGAAACGUUCCUUGCUGCGAUCGCUCAAAGAUCGGAGCAUGGGCACCAUGCUGAGCAGGAAAUGGCGGUUCGAUUCGUUGGAUAUUUUGGCCAUGGCUGAUGGCGGUGGCGCUCGAAAAAUGGGCAGUAGUAUGAAGUCCAGAUUGGUUUGCCACAACCAUUGAUCGGUGCCCAAUAGCCUGGUCACCUCCUCGUCCACAUCCAGAUCGAAUGCCGGCUCGUCCGUAACCAGAAAGAGUCUCUCCUCCGCCUCGAAUUCGAUGCCACCCUUUUUGAAUGCCGAAUAGCUCGCCACCGAUUGCAGAUAUUGUUGCGGAUGUAGAAUUAGCUUGCUUUUCUUCACCUGAACACGGCAACGCGCAGGAGUCUUGGGCUUGUGUGGCGGGAAGACAUCGCGAACGAACUCCAUUUGUUUGGAGUGCGGCCAGCUCCAGGCGUUGCCUUGGUGGAUCUUAGUGCGGUAGUUGUUACGCAGACUCUUCCAACGCCGCUUGCACUCGUCAACGCCAAGUCCUACCGCAUUGGAGACAUCCAGCCAGUCGAUAGGGAUUUGCGGCCGACGCAGCGAGAAUUUGAUGCGACUGUCCCAGAUCGAUGGACGAAGUGCAAUCUCGCGGAGUAGGUGGUUUGUCUCCAGAUUGUUGGUCGGAUACUUGUUAUCGGCAGAAGUCAUCGCACAUGCACGUGUUGAUGGAAUUCCGAAAAUAAAGAAGGAAUUUAAAAUCGAGACUCUC
ensembl:ncRNA asRNA:CR43299 antisense RNA:CR43299